UACGGAGGUGGCAAGCGUUGUUCGGAAUUACUGGGCGUAAAGGGCGCGUAGGCGGCAGGGCAAGUCAGGUGUGAAAGCCCCGGGCUCAACUCGGGAACUGCAUCUGAAACUGCUUUGCUUGAGUCCUGGAGGGGGUAGUGGAAUUCCCAGUGUAGCGGUGAAAUGCGUAGAUAUUGGGAGGAACACCGGUGGCGAAGGCGGCUACCUGGACAGUGACUGACGCUGAGGCGCGAAAGCUAGGGGAGCGAACGGG
rnacentral:rRNA from 1 species